rnacentral:lncRNA from 1 species
AUGUCUGGAAGGCUGUGGUGCAAGGCCAUUUUUGCUGGCUACAAGCGAGGUCUCCGGAACCAAAGAGAGCACACGGCUCUUCUUAAAAUUGAAGGCGUUUAUGCCCGAGAUGAAACGAGAGUUCUACUUAGGCAAAAGAUGUGCUUAUGUGUAUAAAGCAAAAAACAAUACGGUGACUCCUGAAGGUAAACCAAAGAAAACCAGAGUGAUCUGGGGAAAGGUAACUCGCUUCGUGCCAAAUUCCGAAGCAACCUUCCUGCAAAGGCCAUUGGACACAGAAUCCAUGUGAUGCUGUACCCAUCCCGGAUG